GAUGAAGAACGCAGCGAAAUGCGAUAAGUAAUGUGAAUUGCAGAAUUCAGUGAAUCAUCGAAUCUUUGAACGCACAUUGCGCCCCUUGGUAUUCCGAGGGGCAUGCCUGUUCGAGCGUCAUUAUAACCCCUCAAGCUCGGCUUGGUGUUGGGGCCUGCCGCACGGGCAGCCCUUAAAAUCAGUGGCGGUGCCAUCUGGCUCUAAGCGUAGUAAUUCUUCUCGCUAUAGGGUUCCGGAGGGAUGCUGGCCAACAACCCCCAACUUUUAAGGUUGACCUCGGAUCAGGUAGGGAUACCCGCUGAACUUAAGCAUAUCAAUAAGCGGAGGA
rnacentral:misc_RNA from 1 species